UACGAAGGGGGCUAGCGUUGUUCGGAAUUACUGGGCGUAAAGCGCGCGCAGGCGGCCAUUCAAGUCAGGGGUGAAAGCCCAGAGCUCAACUCUGGAACUGCCCUUGAAACUGCAUGGCUUGAGUACGAGAGAGGUGAGUGGAAUUCCCAGUGUAGAGGUGAAAUUCGUAGAUAUUGGGAAGAACACCGGUGGCGAAGGCGGCUCACUGGCUCGUUACUGACGCUCAGGCGCGACAGCGUGGGGAUCAAGCAGG
rnacentral:rRNA from 1 species